GGAGCCAUAGGGAGGGAUUCCAGUCCAGCCUUAAAAGAAACCUGCCACAGGAAUCUUGGAGAUUGGCAACCAUCCUAAUGACUUA
rnacentral:pre_miRNA from 1 species